GAAAAGAACUUUGAAAAGAGAGUUAAACAGUACGUGAAAUUGUUGAUAGGGAAACGAUUGAAGUCAGUCAUGCCGGCGAGAAAUCAGCCUACAGGCUACUGUGGGUGCACUUUUUUGCAAGGCAGGUUAACAUCGAUUUUUGUUGCGUCAUAAUGAUUGUAGGAAUGUGGCUUCGAUUUAGAUCGAAGUGUUAUAGCCUUUGGUAGAUGUGACGAUUGUGAUCGAGGAUUGCAACGAAUACCCUUUGGACCAUUUGGGUUAUCCGUCUAGCCUUUGAAAGUCGCUUGGGUGUCGAAAGCGUGCUUAUGGCAUACAAGUUGACGGUCAACAGGUUAGAACGUGAUUACAUUCGUUAAGGAUGUUGACGUAAUGGCUUUAAACGACCCGUCUUGAAACACGG
rnacentral:rRNA from 1 species